GGCCUUUUGAUAUUAAUUUAAGGUUUGACCUGCCCACUGAAGUUUUAAAGGGCCGCGGUACUUUGACCGUGCUAAGGUAGCAUAAUCAUUAGUUUUUUAAUUGGAAGCUGGUAUGAACGGUUGGAUGAGAAAAUAACUGUCUCCUUUUUAAUUUUAAUUGAAAUUUAUUUUUAAGUAAAAAAGCUUAAAUAGACUUUAAAGACGAUAAGACCCUAUAGAGUUUUAUAGAAUUGAUUUUAUUAAGUUUUUAGGAAUUUAAUUUUAAUGAGUUAAUUUUAUUUGAUUGGGGUGAUUGAAAAAUUUAAUAAACUUUUUUUAAAUAUUUACUCAUUAAUUUAUGAAAAAUUGAUCCAAUUUUAUUGAUUAAAAGAUUAAAUUACCUUAGGGAUAACAGCGUAAUUUUUUUUGAGAGUUCAUAUCGAAAAAAGAGAUUGCGACCUCGAUGUUGGAUUAAAGUUAAUUUUUGGUGUAGAAGCUAAAGGGUUAGGUCUGUUCGACCUUUAAAACUUUACAUGA
rnacentral:rRNA from 1 species